GAAAAGACAUGAAAGAUGUGGAUAAAGGCAUCCCUCUCCCUCUUCCUUCCUGAUAAAUUCCCCAAGUGGGAAAACUGGAUCAGAUGGAACUUCUAUUUUUAUUUUUUGAAGGAUCUCCAUAAUGCUUUCCAUAAUGGCUGCACCAAUGAAUUUCCUUCUCUUCAAUACUUGUUGUUUUUUGUCUCCCAUUCCCACAGAGGAUAUUAAGAGUGAUCAUAGGAUGCUGAGUGGAUUGGUGACUAAGAUCAAAAUAUGAUGACAAAGAAAAGUGAGAAGAAUUGUACCAAGGAGCCAAAGAAAUUGGGCCAGAUCUCUCUCUCUUUGGCUUAUCAAGAAGUAAUUCAACUAGAUCUGCAAAGCCAGCCAUCAUCCUUGCAUCUUCCACCAUCAUCUUCCUGACUGCCCCCGUCCAAUCCUAGACUUUGGCAGUUAGCCAUGGGCAAGAGACUGUGGGGUACACCAUAGAUGGUAACAAUGAGGAGGGGAAAGUGUCAGUGUUGAGUGAAAGGAAAACUUUCGUGAUUAUGUCUAACCAACUUAGGACAGUUCAAUAACCCCAUCUCACGUUAUUACAACAGAUGCUUUGGUUGGAAAAAGGAAUCCUAAAACUUUUACUGAGACUGAGUUAAGGCUGUGCCUUCAACAAUAAUAGUACCUCAUUUGUUAGACACGUGCCCAUUAUAUUAUGUAAAUUAAAUCUGAUUUUCCCAACAACCCUUCAUGGUAU